ACACCUCAACCCUCCAAUGUUUUUGCAUUGACGGUGUUGGUAGUGAGCGCUGCCGGACUUUGGGUCGGCUCGCUUUAAAAUCAUUAGCUGGAUCCAUUCUGACCAGGUUCUACUCGGCGUAAUAACUUAUUAUCGUCGAGGACGCUUGUCUUUCUAGGCAGGCGGCCACAGUAAGGGUGUUUGAACCGCUUCCAACACGUCCUGCUCUUGUAGCAGACACUUGAAC
rnacentral:misc_RNA from 1 species